rnacentral:lncRNA from 1 species
UGUGGUAUUUAAUUCAUUUAAAUACGUUAUUAAUGAUCGGAAAAUUUAGAUAAAUGAUAUUAAUUAUCUGAAAAUAUUUCGAGCUUAUGAAAAUCAUUUAGACUGAUAAGAAAAUUAUCUGUGAUAUCGUCAAGUAUUUAGGCAGAGUUUAAUUAAACUUAGACUCCUUAAAUUGUCCGACUAGACCGUCGGGAUGAUAGAAUUGUACCGAUUUCAACUCGGACUGAAAUAGUUUGACGCGACGCUAUGUCCUAUGUGUAUAAGAGACUGAUAGGAGUAUGUGGAAAUAUGUUUAAGUUAUUUUAUAACAAUGAUGAUAUUAUUCUAAUAUUGGAGAUCUAUAUUAUUAAUAUUAGGUCUUCAGGAGAAGCGUAUUAUAUUGCGUUACGGUAAUCAACGGUUCAGGCAAGUUUUUCAAGUUCUUUUUACUUAAACUCUUUUAAGAGUGGUUUCAGACAGAUAUGCUUAUGAAUUGUACUCUGUACAUCUUGUAUGUAUAAGUCGGGUAUGAAAGGCUGAUCACCUUCAUUACCAGUUGGUCCAGAUAUAUUGUUAUUCCUGUUAAAUACUUGUUCAGUCAAAACUUUGUUCAUGCUAAUUCACAAAUACAUUGUGAAGGAUAGUCAGCUUAUUAUUCAAACUCUUUCCAUCAUGAUAUAUCUUUGCAUUGUUUUUAAACUUGCUGGGCAACUUUCAUGCUCACCCUUGCUAUAUCAUGAUAAAACAUUGCAGAUAAGGCGAAUACGGCCAGUUACAGGAAAAGGAAAAUGCCAAGUUCAGCUUGGGAUAGAAUGUACAGCUAAUUUGUAAAAGUAUGGUUGAAGAAUAGUAUUGUUAUGUGUUAGAUAGCUUAUGAUUUGUGUUUAAGUAAAGGUUACUCGACCUUGG